GUUAGUUGGUGAGGUAACGGCUCACCAAAACGAUGAUGUCUAGGGGUUCUGAGAGGAUUAUCCCCCACACUGGUACUGAGACACGGACCAGACUCCUACGGGAGGCAGCAGUGAGGAAUAUUGGUCAAUGGACGCAAGUCUGAACCAGCCAUGCCGCGUGCAGGAUGACGGCCCUAUGGGUUGUAAACUGCUUUUCCACGGGAAGAACCCUCCGACGUGUCGGAGACUGACGGUACCGUGGGAAUAAGCAUCGGCUAACUCCGUGCCAGCAGCCGCGGUAAUACGGAGGAUGCAAGCGUUAUCCGGAUUUAUUGGGUUUAAAGGGUGCGUAGGUGGGCUUAUAAGUCAGCGGUGAAAUCCCCCGGCUCAACCAGGGAAUUGCCGUUGAUACUGUUAGCCUUGAGUACAGUUGAAGUGGGCGGAAUGUAGCAUGUAGCGGUGAAAUGCAUAGAUAUGCUACAGAACACCAAUAGCGAAGGCAGCUCACUAAGUUGUAACUGACACUAAUGCACGAAAGCGUGGGGAUCAAACAGGAUUAGAUACCCUGGUAGUCCACGCUGUAAACGAUGAUCACUCGUUGUUGGCGAUAUACAGUCAGCGACUGAA
rnacentral:rRNA from 1 species